UACAGAGGGUGCGAGCGUUGUCCGGAAUCACUGGGCGUAAAGGGCGCGUAGGUGGCGAGCCAAGUCCAUGGUGAAAGCUCGAUGCUCAACAUCGAGUCGGCCACGGAUACUGGUGCGCUUGAGCACUGUAGAGGCUAAUGGAAUUCCGGGUGUAGCGGUGGAAUGCGUAGAUAUCUGGAGGAACACCGGUGGCGAAGGCGCAUCCUGGACCGGCAUUGACGCUGAGGAGCGAAAGCCAGGGGAGCAAACGGG
rnacentral:rRNA from 1 species